rnacentral:rRNA from 1 species
UGGGGAAUAUUGCACAAUGGGCGCAAGCCUGAUGCAGCCAUGCCGCGUGUAUGAAGAAGGCCUUCGGGUUGUAAAGUACUUUCAGCGGGGAGGAAUGGAGUAAAGUUAAUACCUUUGCUCAUUGACGUUACCCGCUGAAGAAGCACCGGCUAACUCCGUGCCAGCAGCCGCGUUAAUACGGAGGGUGCAAGCGUUAAUCGGAAUUACUGUGCGUAAAGCGCACGCAGGCGGUUUGUUAAGUCAGAUGUGAAAUCCCCGGGCUCAACCUGGGAACUGCAUCUGAUACUGGCAAGCUUGAGUCUCGUAGAGGGAGGUAGAAUUCCAGGUGUAGCGGUGAAAUGCGUAGAGAUCUGGAGGAAUACCGGUGGCGAAGGCGGCCCCCUGGACGAAGACUGACGCUCAGGUGCGAAAGCGUGGGGAGCAAACAGG